CAGAGUACUAUACUCAUAACCCUUUGUGAACCUUUAUAACUUGUUGCUUCGGCGGCGCGAGCCCCUCGGGGAGCGUGCCCGCCGGUGUCAUCAGAAUCUCUGUUCGAACCCGACGAUACUUCUGAGUGUUCUAAGCGAGCUGUUA
rnacentral:misc_RNA from 1 species